rnacentral:lncRNA from 1 species
CAUACCUAAGUGGUGACUUUGGGCUUAAAAUUGUGUUAACAUUGUGAAUGUUGGUUUUGAAUGACUUUACUACCUGUGGAUCAUUAUCAAAGUGACUAAUCCUUCUUAAGAGUGGAGCAUAUGCGUCAAGUUUUACUCAACAACAAUCUGAGAAUACUGUGAAACUGGAGAAAUGCCUUAAGCUCAUACAGCAACUUACAUGCAUUCUAAGGAAGAAGGUAAAACAAAAGAUGUUGUAUUUCCUGUACAUUAAAGUAUAAGUGGUGCCAAAGGAAUCCCCAGAACAGAAAGAGAAGGUAGAAUCUGUUAUUCCCAGAGAUCAUUCUUGAGAUCCACAGCUGAGCUACUGCAGCAUUAGCUGACCAGACAGCUCCUGACCAAGCCUCGGCUUCUAGCAGACAUUGAAUUAUCUCUCCUACUGAAGCAAUGUGAAUCAUAGCAAAGGACUCAUGGAGAAUGGAGAGCCAUGUAUCGUCAGCACAAUGAUAGCAUCUAGUUCAGCAUCUCACUUCUAAACUUCUCAGUGGUUUCCAUAACACUUUGAGUAGGAGGAAAGAAGAGGAGGCAAGGACUAGUCAUACAAUUAGGCAAAUGGCUGUCUACUAUUUACUACUUCCCUGCUACACGUUUUCCCACAAAUACAAGCUCAGUCUCUCCCUAUCUAUACUUGCUGAGGCUGUGGGCUAGUUUAGAAUAGAAUGUAAGCAGCAGAGCACUCAUCAGCUGAAGUCAGCUGAACAAUACACAACAUUGACACAGACAACUUGCUGUUAAUAUCAUCUAGUGAAACUCAUCAUUAGUAUCAUAAAAUAUUUUUAGUUCAAUGCCUGAAGCCACCUAAAAUGGGUGUUAAGAAAUUCAAAAGAAUUUAUUCUUAUGAAAGGUCCUAUCAUCCCUCUUUUCUAGAACCAGGAUAUUCAAGCCAGCUUGCAACAGUCAUAAAUUCUCACAAAUUGCUGACCCAACAGAGGGUUUUCAUCUAUGUGCACGCGGAUGUCACAAAUAGCCAUUAUGCUCACUGAAACAAAGCUACAGAAAAAUCUGAAAACUUACCCAAAGUAAGUCUACAGUAGUCUAGAGCAAGCUGAAUGCUUAUGGCAUCAAUACCAUUUUAGUGGUGUCUGCAUGCACAAAUAUUUUAGUACAGUGUUUUCAGGAUAGUCCCACAAUAAAGGGUAGAGUCAAUGUGAUAUAUAUAUAUAUAGUAUAUAGAUAUAAAUAGCCAUCCACUUGAAUCUACUGAUCAACUUUUCUCACUAACAAGAGAAACUGCUUUUUAAAAGACUGUACACAGCUAGCCCAGCUCCCCAGGUGACCUGAAAGGAAUAAAAUUCUUGUGAUAGGUAAAGCAAGAAGGCUAGGAUAAAGCUACAUUAAACUGGGAGUAAAUGAAUACAUGAAAUUUGUUCCUACUCUGACCAAUGUUAUUAAUUUCCAAAUGACAUAAAAUGAGAAGGAAAGAUGAUUCUGUGCAUAUCCUUUUCAUCUAUACCCUUCUCACGGUUCCACAUCUCAGAAAGAAGAGACUGUUGUAUCACAAGUUUACUUCAUUCGUGUUCUCUUGCAGGAGAUGGAAAGGAAAAGAACUGAUGGUUUGCAGGAAUGCAAAAUAAGGGCACUGGCUACGGCAAUGUCCAGAGAACACGUGGCUUGCAGAAGCUGGAUGGCUUCAUUCUCCCUUGGAAUAACGACACCCAGGAUCUGCCCAGCUCCAGAGCCAUCACUAAGGAUGUGCUAUAUAUAACACAGGAUAUAAGGAUAUAUAUAUGUAUAUAACACAGAUAUAACAAAGGAUGUGUUAGAUACAUGUUUUAAGGGUCAGGCAACUAGGGCAAGUGUAAUUUUACCACUGCAUGUCCUCCAUGAACAGGUGUUUCUCAAAUCAGAGAACAACCCAAGUUGGAAGGAUGGUCCACAGGGACCACUGAGACAAACUCCUGUCUCCACUCAGGACCACCCUGAAGCCCUCAUUCAAACCUUAUGUCUGAGAGCAUUGUCCAAACACCCCUUCAGCUCCGGCAGCUUGGGGCCAUGAUCACUCCCCUGGGGAGCUUUUUCCAUGCCCGUAGUCCUCUGGAGAAGAACCUUUUUCCAGUGCAGCUCCAUGAACUCAUCUGAGUCCAUUGUGCAGCCCAAUUAUUCAGGCCUCUGGUUGGGUAGCAGAAUUAUGUUUGGCCAACGAGGCUGCCAAAUACUUCAAAAAACAACUGGCUACUAGGCAUUAUGUUGGUCCUGGUGUCACACAGAUGGCACUUCUUGGUUAGUUUCAGGGAAAAAGUGUCAGAGCAGGGAUCUGAGAAGACUUGAAGUACAAUUUUACAUUAGUCCUACAGAUACAGGGUACUGCCAAAGGUGUGAAAUUCUUAAAUAGAAAUAUCAAGAAUAUUACAAAGAAUAAUCUACAGGUGUGAUAGUAUAAUUUAAAAGAUCCCACUGAACCCUGGCUUUCAGCUAUUACUCUGACAUGUACAUAUAAAGACUCUCAAUUUCCCCCAUUUUUUUCACCACUCAUAAUUUUCUAUAUAUUACACAAUAAUUCCCAUUUAUACACUAAUUCUCUUUCUCCUUUCAUCUGUUAACCGUCAGGUUCCCAAAUGCCUACAGUACAUGUGUUGCCUCUGCCUUCAGUGUUUUUCCAUCCUCUUCCACUCCUUCAUUGCUCAUCUUCAUUCUCAAACAAAUCCAGGACAGGUAGCUGUGUGCAGCACUCAGAUUAGCUAGCCUAAGCACAGGAAUCCCUAAAAGAUAACCAUGCUUCCGCAUGUGCAUCUGUUUCAGUAGUUGUUCUUACAUGUCUCUGAAUGUAUUUAACAUAAUUAUAUGUGUUAUUGCACCAGGAUUCAUCAUUAUAGAACAGUCAAAAAAGUCUAUCCCACAGAGUGUGGAGAGGGGAUUUUGAGGAAUGCAUUGUAAUACUACCAGUACAUCAUCUGUUUUGCUCUAUUUCCCAUAGUAUGUUAUUUAAUUUAGCCUUGAUAAAGUACUGGGAGGCUUUAAACCAUGCUCUUAGUCAUGAAAAUGUUCACAAAGCAGAAAACAGAAAAUGUUUUCUGCAUGGAACAAAGGGAACAAAAGGCAAGAAUUAUACCUAAAAGUACCAGGCUACAGUGUGAACAGAUUUUAUUGGACAUUUGUAUAAAAUGUCAGAGCACUUCAUUCUGGAGUAAUUCUGUCCUUAUUGCUCAUUUUUCUUCCCCCUUCUACUUCAGAGCUUCUUUUUCAGUACUUUUUUUUUUUUUUUUUUUUUUUUUUUUACUUUUGAAAUCUCUGCUUCUUAAAGACCACUUUUGCAUCCGUGUUUUUUUUUUUCUUUUCUUUUUUUCCCCAUGGUUUUAAAUCUACAUGUUCAGAAGUAAAUCCUGUGGCUCCUCCUGUUUCCCAGCUGUUUAGUGCUUCUCAUGCUACCUCCCUCUUGCCUGCUUAAAGAAAACACAGGGGGGAUGCUUAGGAACUGAGAAAAGGAAAAUAGUGAAUGGUUUAAAACACUGAGGAUCACAAUAGCCAGAAAAGUUGUGAGACAGAGGACAGAAUAGUUGAAGUUGAGGCAGCUUAUUUUUAGUCCUUCUUUUCCCAGCAGCUUGUUUGCUUCCUAUAACUGAGUCUGGAUUGCAGUAACAUCUCUACAAAGUAUUUCAGAACAGCCUAAUGUCCUAACAAGGAGUAUGUCCAGUUUUCCAUUUUCAAGAAGUUCAGGCACCCUGCAAGCAAAACUUGGCUCUGUAAAAAUCUCAGAAGCGGGCAAUUUUAACUAGCCUGAGAUAGAGGAGGUAAGAGUGAUCCUGUCUGUAGUCAGCCUUUGCAGCCUCAAAGUAUGGACAUCUUCAGCAUUAGAGGAGCGCAGAGAUAAGGGAGGCAUUGUUGCACAUAUAACACUUCCCAUUUUCCAUGCUGCUUCAGCUGUUAAAUUUUCAUCUGCCUGUAGAUGCUGAAAUAUAUCCACAAAUUGAAGACUCCUAUACCUCAAAUGAAACUAACAUAUAAAGGAUAAUGUUUUACAAGUGAAAUGAAUAGGUAGAGUCCGCACAAACACUGAUUUCCAGGUAGGAUAACAUCAUAAACACAGGGAAAUUAAAUUAAUGGUUGAAUGAUAACAUUACUAAACUCCCAGCAUUAAUAAUCAGACAUAAAUCUUUAACUGUCUGUGACUGAGGACUCCUGUAUCUUGUUAUAACUCACCUCCCUACAGAAUACACAUCUCCUUCUAAAUAUAAAUAUUUGAAAUUACAAUCUAUGUGUGUUGGAGUAUGAUAAAAUGUGCAGGAAUUAACAGGUUGAUACUAAAAAAUAACGUGUCUGGAAAGUAUAUAUUAAUACUAAAAACGGGGAAGCCGUCUUGCACUGGUCUUGUUUGUUUGCUCUUCAGUCAAUUUCAAUUAGUGUUCUUGGAACUGUAUGUGUGGAGUAAUAUUAGCUCUGAAAAAUCAGUAACCCCCAAUUUUUUACUGCAUUCAAGUACAGUUUUAUCUUACCUGUGCAUUAGCAACGAGAGGGAAAUAAAAGAAGAUAACUGGGGGAUUAUCUUUUGUCCUGGUUUCAUCUUUAUGACCAAAACCUACUAAAUCUGUCAUCUCUACUACAGAUAAAUGGUUUGUAAAGUUUUGAAAUAAUCAUAUGCAUCCAAAAAUGGUGAAUUUCCAAAGUAAACUGGGAGUAAAAUAUCAAACCAGAGCACCUUCUGCAGGUCUGCCAGUACUCAGCCCACCUAUGUUUUAAGAAACAACCCCCAAAUCACCUCAAAACAUGUUGCAAACUUUUGUUUGUUUGUUUGUUUUUAAAUAUUCCUCACUGUCUUUAGCUUAGGAGCUGUAAUUUGACAAGCAGCUGACAUUGCAUUUUAAUAAUUAUGAUUAACCAAGUUAUAAAAGUUUUCAAUAUUUUAUUAUUUUUUUCUUUUUAGGUGCAUCAGCUUCUUGCUGAAUUAGCUAUUUCCUAACAUUUCUCAGUAGUGCAUGCUACACAUUAUAAGUCAACUGUGAUUUUGAGUGAUGUAUAAAGUAUAAUGAUUUUUUUUUCCAUAUUCUUUGUAUUGAUGAAGACAGAGAAAACACUGCAGCUCUGGUUUCAACCUUGAAAGAGCUACAAUCUGUUCUUUACUAUGUCACAUUCUUCAUCUGUAACAUGGGAACAGCAAUUGCUACGCUGUACCGUGAUGUGGGGUAUGAUCAAUGUGAUGUGCUCAGCUACUGCAGUAAAGAAAAACAAGAUGGGUAGCACUCCAGAAAAGACAAAAAGAUGAGUUAGUAUACAUGAAAGAACAGUGACAUUAGGACCUUUGUUUCUGAGUUUUAUUUGUAAGAUACAGAUCGGGAUUUACUGUUUAACACAUAUAAGGGGAAAGCUGACUUUGACUUGGUCUUGUGGGCUUUCCUUUCAGGAAACUCAUUUUUAACUUUGUGGACAGUACUCCAAAGCCACUUCCAAUGACAUUUUUUUCUGUAGGUGAAUCCCGCAUAGCUGGGAAACAGAAGAUAUGAAGACACACAUGCUCACAGGUGGUCCAUGUGCUCAUGGAUUUCAUGAGGAGCAUCCCACUGGUUUCAGCAGGAGACAGAUUCCAACCCCUCGGCACAGUAAAACCACACAUUUCUUCCAUCAGUGGCAUGGAGCACUGGCAGGGACACAAACCCAGUUCCUGAGGUCAGUACAUCUGCUCUGUUAAGCUGAACAAAGCCAUUGGAAAAAGUCUUGUAUUUGUUCUCCCAUACAAUUAUCUUUCUUCUACCCAGUAAGGUAUAACAUGACUUCCCUUAUUGCUUCAUUUACUUCAGAUUCUGAGAAGACAACACUUGCUCAGCUUUGCAAAAGCCAUCUGGGAUCUUCAGAUAUAAGGACUGAAAUGUUACCUGUUUCAACCUGCAGGAAUAUUGCCACCAGGUUUGGGAAGGCCUGGAUUUCACCUAAAGCACUGCAAACAACAUGUUUACAUCUGCAUCUUAUUGAUCGCUUUUUGUUGGCCUGUUUGAAAAAAGUAACAGGAGAAUGGGGGGGGGGAACCACACACACACACAAAAAAAAAAAAAAAGAAAGAAAAAGAGAAAAAAUAAAUGAAUUGCAGGGUGGAAGGAGUGGGAAAAGAGCUCGGUUGUGAGGGAGCCACAGCAAUACUACUAAAACAACUACUUUGUUUUAUAUUGGGUCUACUUCCAUGGCAUCUAACACCACAUGUAAAUGCUAAUACUCCCUGAAUGUUAUCACUUCAUGAAGGUUCAACAGCAAAGUGAUCUAAAAGACAGUGCUGUAAUGAAAUGCCAUGAGGUUAGGAACUGUCAGCACUCCAUCGCAAACCACCACAACACGCAAUGAACUGGGAAAUUAGCAAACUUUCUCCAAUAUAUACUAAAGGUAAAAAGAAUAAAAGAUAUAUAAAUGAAUAUUCUGUUAUCUGCAGACAUCACUGUGGUGUUACAACACCAGACAAGAACACAGUGCAUCAGAAAUGACAAAUAAGGGAUCCCACUUUUCUGAUCCUUUUAUUGGGAAGAUGUAGUGAUUUCUGAAUCUCCACCCAGAUAAGGAAACUUCAGUCUAAAAAUUUUCUGUUCUAUGAAAUACUCAUAGAUAAGGCACUUCCACCUUUUAAAAUAAUGAAUUAAAUGCUUGCUCUGCAAAAUGCACCUACGCUGUAUGCAAGGAUGUUGACCUCUCGCCAUCGCUUCCUAUGAGUUCACACAACGCAGCGGUGACACGGGGCCAUGGGGAAGCCCCCGCACUCUGCACGCACGUGUCACCUCCCGCAC